AUUGAACGCUGGCGGCAGGCCUAACACAUGCAAGUCGAACGCUGUAGCAAUACAGAGUGGCAGACGGGUGAGUAACGCGUGGGAAUCUUCCUAUCGGUACGGAAUAGCUCAGGGAAACUUGGGGUAAUACCGCAUACGCCCUUCGGGGGAAAGAUUUAUCGCCGAUAGAUGAGCCCGCGUCUGAUUAGCUAGUUGGUGAGGUAAUGGCUCACCAAGGCGACGAUCAGUAGCUGGUCUGAGAGGAUGACCAGCCACACUGGGACUGAGACACGGCCCAGACUCCUACGGGAGGCAGCAGUGGGGAAUAUUGGACAAUGGGCGCAAGCCUGAUCCAGCCAUGCCGCGUGAGUGACGAAGGUCUUCGGAUUGUAAAGCUCUUUUGGCGGGGACGAUAAUGACGGUACCCGCAGAAUAAGCCCCGGCUAACUUCGUGCCAGCAGCCGCAGUAACAC
rnacentral:rRNA from 1 species